rnacentral:rRNA from 1 species
UGGGGAAUAUUGCGCAAUGGCCGAAAGGCUGACGCAGCGACGCCGCGUGUGGGAUGAAGGCUUUCGGGUUGUAAACCACUGUCAGGGGGGACGAAACAAAUGACGGUACCCCCAAAGGAAGCGCCGGCUAACUCCGUGCCAGCAGCCGCGGUAACACGGAGGGCGCGAGCGUUGUUCGGAAUCACUGGGCGUAAAGCGCGCGUAGGCGGUUGGAUAAGUCGCUUGUGAAAGCCCGGGGCUCAACUCCGGGACGCCAGGCGAUACUGUCCAGCUAGAGCACGGUAGAGGCAAGUGGAAUUCCCGGUGUAGCGGUGGAAUGCGUAGAUAUCGGGAAGAACACCAGUGGCGAAGGCGGCUUGCUGGGCCGUUGCUGACGCUGAGGUGCGAAAGCGUGGGGAGCAAACAGGAUUAGAUACCCCUGUAGUCC